GACGAACGCUGGCGGCGUGCUUAACACAUGCAAGUCGAACGGUAAGGCUCCAGCUUGCUGGGGUACACGAGUGGCGAACGGGUGAGUAACACGUGGGUGACCUGCCCUGCACUUCGGGAUAAGCCUGGGAAACUGGGUCUAAUACCGGAUAGGACCAUGGUGUGGAUACUGUGGUGGAAAGUUUUUUCGGUGUGGGAUGGGCCCGCGGCCUAUCAGCUUGUUGGUGGGGUAAUGGCCUACCAAGGCGGCGACGGGUAGCCGGCCUGAGAGGGUGGACGGCCACAUUGGGACUGAGACACGGCCCAGACUCCUACGGGAGGCAGCAGUGGGGGAUAUUGCACAAUGGGCGGAAGCCUGAUGCAGCGACGCCGCGUGGGGGAUGACGGCCUUCGGGUUGUAAACUCCUUUCACCAUCGACGAAGGGUUUCUGACGGUAGAUGGAGAAGAAGCACCGGCUAACUACGUG
rnacentral:rRNA from 1 species